GUGUCGUUUCCUUCCCCGCGUGUCGCGCCCCGCUUACUCACCCGACCCAUGCCAUACGGUGCCGAUGCCACCCAACCGACGCACCGACACCGCCAACGUUCACGACACCUCUUCUUCCCCACCAGUACAAAAGCUUUGAGCCGAAUCCCUUCCACUUUUGUCGACUCUUUCCUCUUCCUCAUCUGCUCUCAACCCCCUUCCUUUCGCUUAGAUCUAUCGACCACCAAUCGUCGACAACGACGCCGACAAGCCCGACGAGCAGGGAGCAACGCCAAGCACAGGUUUCCUCCCCUAGCCAAUCUUCUUUCCCUCUGCCCUAGUUUUGUUCGGCGCCACUGGAUCCGCCGAUCUCCUUCGACCACUGGACCGAGCUGGUGCCACCCAACCGCCGCGCAUGAGAAGGGGUUCAAGAUCCCAAGGUCAAUGCCCUAGCUUCCGACUCCAGCCUCUGCCGAUCUGCCGCCUGAUCUUCCCUCCAGCUGGCUGCCGAUGAUUCAACUCAAGUGACAUUCUACAAGUACGAACAGGGGCAUGUUGUGGUGCCCUAGACCUCUACCUUUAAUAUAGCUGAUUUGGGGCAUUCGUUCGAUGGUCAACAACGUCAUCCAGCUCUGGCCACCAAUUUCCAACAUCAAACUUCUCCGAUCGCAGAUCAACAUUAGCACGAUCGAAGUAGGAUUCGGAUUCGGGACAAGCACAUCGACAUAGAGGUUGAUUAGCUCAAUCUACAUUAGAGGCGGGU